AUAGCGUAUAUUAAAGUUGUUGCAGUUAAAAAGCUCGUAGUUGAAUAUCUGGCCGGUGGUGUGUUGGCUCCCUGAGUCGAUGCAUCGCCUGGUUAUCCGUAUGGGAAGCUAGCUCGGCCUUCACUGGUCGGCUAGUGGAUCAUACACUUUACUUUGAAAAAAUUAGAGUGUUUCAGGCAGGCAAUUGCUUGGAUACUUGAGCAUGGAAUAAUGGAAUAGGACUUUGACCUAUUUGUUGGUUUCUCGAGGUCAAAGUAAUGAUUAAUAGGGAUUGUUGGGGGCAUUCGUAUUUAAUUGUCAGAGGUGAAAUUCUUGGAUUUUUUAAAGACGAACUUAUG
rnacentral:rRNA from 1 species